rnacentral:rRNA from 1 species
UGCCAGACUCCUACGGGAGGCAGCAGUGAGGAAUAUUGGUCAAUGGUCGGGAGACUGAACCAGCCAAGCCGCGUGAGGGAUGAAGGUACAGAGUAUCGUAAACCUCUUUUGUCAGGGAACAAAGGCGGGGACGUGUCCCCGGAUGAGUGUACCUGAAGAAAAAGCAUCGGCUAACUCCGUGCCAGCAGCCGCGGUAAUACGGGGGAUGCAAGCGUUAUCCGGAUUUAUUGGGUUUAAAGGGUGCGUAGGCUGUGAGGUAAGUCAGCGGUGAAAUGCCCCCGCUCAACGGGGUGAAGUGCCAUUGAUACUGCCUUGCUGGAAUGCGGAUGCCGUGGGAGGAAUGUGUGGUGUAGCGGUGAAAUGCAUAGAUAUCGCGCAGAACUCCGAUUGCGAAGGCAGCAUGCCGGCUCCACACUGACGCUGAGGCACGAAAGCGUGGGUAUCGAACAGGAUUAGAUACCCUGGUA